GAUAAACGCUAGCGGCAGGCUUAACACAUGCAAGUCGAGGGGCAGCAUAGAUUGUAGCAAUACAAUUGGUGGCGACCGGCGCACGGGUGCGUAACGCGUAUGCAACCUACCCGUCACAGGGGGAUAAUCCGGAGAAAUCUGGUCUAAUACACCAUAACAUAUGGAUCGGCAUCGGUUCAUGUUGAAAUUUUCGGAGGUGACGGAUGGGCAUGCGUAGCAUUAGCUUGUUGGUGAGGUAACGGCUCACCAAGGCGACGAUGCUUAGGGGGACUGAGAGGUUUCCCCCCACACUGGUACUGAGACACGGACCAGACUCCUACGGGAGGCAGCAGUGAGGAAUAUUGGUCAAUGGGCGCAAGCCUGAACCAGCCAUGCCGCGUGCAGGAUGACGGCUCUAUGAGUUGUAAACUGCUUUUGUACGAGGGUAAAGUGGGUUACGUGUAACCUUUUGAAAGUAUCGUACGAAUAAGGGUCGGCUAACACCGUGCCAGCCGCCGCCGUAA
rnacentral:rRNA from 1 species